UCCUACGGGGGGCAGCAGGCGCGAAAACUUUACAAUGCGGGAAACCGUGAUAAGGGGACACCGAGUGUCAGCAUCAUAUGCUGGCUGUCCAGGUGUGUAAAAUACACCUGUUAGCAAGGGCCGGGCAAGACCGGUGCCAGCCGCCGCGGUAACACCGGCGGCCCGAGUGGUGAUCGUGAUUAUUGGGUCUAAAGGGUCCGUAGCCGGUUUGGUCAGUCCUCCGGGAAAUCUGAUAGCUCAACUAUUAGGCUAUCGGGGGAUACUACCAGACUUGGAACCGGGAGAGGUAAGAGGUACUACAGGGGUAGGAGUGAAAUCUUGUAAUCCCUGUGGGACCACCUGUGGCGAAGGCGUCUUACCAGAACGGGUUCGACGGUGAGGGACGAAAGCUGGGGGCACGAACCGGAUUAGAUACCCCUGUAGUCCA
rnacentral:rRNA from 1 species